rnacentral:rRNA from 1 species
AGUGAACGCUGGCGGUAGGCCUAACACAUGCAAGUCGAACGGCAGCACAGUAAGAGCUUGCUCUUAUGGGUGGCGAGUGGCGGACGGGUGAGGAAUACAUCGGAAUCUACUUUUUCGUGGGGGAUAACGUAGGGGAAACUUACGCUAAUACCGCAUACGACCUCGGUGAAGCAGGGACCGUCGGGCCGUUGCGCGAUUGA